GAAUUUUGCGCAAUGGACGAAAGUCUGACGCAGCAACGCCGCGUGAGGGAUGACGGCCUUCGGGUUGUAAACCUCUUUUGUCAGGGACGAUGAUGACGGUACCUGACGAAUAAGCCACGGCUAACUACGUGCCAGCAGCCGCGGUAAUACGUAGGUGGCAAGCGUUGUCCGGAGUUACUGGGCGUAAAGGGCGCGCAGGCGGUUGGUUACGUCGUGUGUGAAAGCCCCCGGCUCAACCGGGGAGGGUCGCGCGAAACGGGCCGACUGGAGGCAAGGCGAGGGCGGUGGAAUUCCCGGUGUAGUGGUGAAAUGCGUAGAGAUCGGGAGGAACACCAGAGGCGAAGGCGGCCGCCUGGACUUGACCUGACGCUGAGGCGCGAAGGCGUGGGGAGCGAACGG
rnacentral:rRNA from 1 species